UACAACUGCACAGACCUUCUUUACUGCAGGGACUUAUAAUCAUCAAGAGAUCUGCAAUCCAAAUAUAGCACUCUGAAUGGAAGGGAGGAAUCUACAAGCCCAGAAACAUACAUGAGAGACAGAACUUUAUUGCAAUAAGAUUGAAAGCAUCACUUAUGGGAGAAUGUGCCAGGUGAGGGCAAUUCUACCCCGAAGGACACAUGGAAAACACAAUAUUAUCUCAAUUAAACAAAAGUGUUUUUCUGAAGAUCUAUCACACCACAUGGAACAGAAUGACACCCUGCUCAAUGUACAUCCCAUAAUUCAGAAAUGUUCACUCUAGAUUAAAUAGUUCGCUCCUC